UAACAUGAACUUUCGGAUCAUUUGGAUCCCAACCUUGCUGUUUUGGGUUGUUGACAACGUGAGGUUGGUUUGAAGAGGAAGCCAUGCAUUUGUAAUGGAAUGGAUAGAGUGAAAGAGGCAGUCACUGAAAUGCCCUUUUAUAAUAGAAUGGAGGGUUUCAAAUGUUAACGCAAGGGUUAUCUGGAAAAAUUAGCCCAGCCAACUGACUUUUUUAAAUGAAC
rnacentral:lncRNA from 1 species